rnacentral:lncRNA from 1 species
GCAGCAACAGUAGUAACAGCAGCAGCAGCAGUAGUAACAACAGCAGCAGCAGCAGGAGUAGUAACAACAGCAGCAGCAGCAGCAGUAGUAACAACAGCAGCAGCAGUAACAACAGCAGCAGCAGCAGCAGCAGCAACAGCAGCAGUAGUAGCAGCAGCAGUAGUAACAGCAGCAGCAGCAGUAGUAACAGCAGCAGCAGCAGUAGUAACAGCAGCAGCAGCAGCAGUAGUAACAGCAGCAGCAGCAGUAGCAGCAACAGCAGCAGCAGCAGUAGUAACAACAGCAGCAGCAGUAGUAACAGCAGCAGCAGCAGUAGUAACAACAGCAGCAGCAGUAGUAACAACAGCAGCAGCAGUAGUAACAACAGCAGUAGUAACAGUAACAACAGCAGUAGUAACAACAGCAGCAACAGCAGUAGUAACAGCAGCAGCAGCAGUAGUAACAGCAGCAGUAGCAACAACAGCAGCAGCAGCAGCAGCAGCAGCAGUAGUAACAGCAACAGCAGCAGCAGCAGCAGCAGUAGUAACAACAGCAGCAGCAGUAGUAACAACAGCAGCAGCAGUAGUAACAACAGCAGCAGCAGCAGCAGUAGUAACAACAGCAGCAGCAGUAGUAACAACAGCAGCAGCAGUAGUAACAGCAGCAGCAGCAGUAGUAACAACAGCAGCAGCAGUAGUAACAACAGCAGCAGCAGUAGUAACAACAGCAGCAGCAGUAGUAACAACAGCAGCAGCAGUAGUAACAACAGCAGCAGCAGCAGUACCAGCAGCAGUAGUAACAGCAGCAGCAGCAGUAGUAACAGCAGCAGCAGCAGUAGUAACAGCAGCAGCAGCAGUAGUAACAGCAGCAGCAGUAGUAACAGCAGCAGCAGCAGUAGUAACAGCAGCAGCAACAGCAGCAGUAGUAACAGCAGCAGCAGCAGUAGUAACAGCAGCAGCAGUAGUAACAGCAGCAGUAGUAACAGCAGCAGCAGUACGAGUAGUAACAGCAGCAGCAGCAGUAGUAACAGCAGCAGCAGCAGUAGUAACAACAGCAGCAGCAGUAGUAACAACAGCAGCAGCAGUAGUAACAACAGCAGCAGCAGCAGU